UACAGAGGGGGCAAGCGUUGUUCGGAAUUACUGGGCGUAAAGGGCGCGUAGGCGGCCUUCUAAGUCGAACGUGAAAUCCCCGGGCUCAACCCGGGAACUGCGUCCGAUACUGGAAGGCUUGAAUCCGGGAGAGGGAUGCGGAAUUCCAGGUGUAACGGUGAAAUGCGUAGAUAUCUGGAGGAACACCGGUGGCGAAGGCGGCAUCCUGGACCGGUAUUGACGCUGAGGCGCGAAAGCCAGGGGAGCAAACGGG
rnacentral:rRNA from 1 species